GCCAAACAGCUAGCCUCACCACCAAAUUAAAUUAACAACAUAAAUAACAAAAUACAACUCAACACAAAUUAAACAAACCAUUCUCAUUAUCUUAGUAUGGGAGACAAAAAAGAUACAAGUAGAGCAAUAGAAAAAGUACCGCAAGGGAAAGCUGAAAAAGAAAUGAAAUAACUCAUACAAGCAUAAUAAAACAAGGAUAAAGUCCUGUACCUUUUGCAUCAUGAUUUAGCAAGCACCCCUAAGCAAAGAGAACUUUAGUUUACAACCCCGAAACCAGGUGAGCUACCCCGAGACAGCCUAAAUACAUAGGGCCAACCCGUCUCUGUGGCAAAAGAGUGGGAAGAGCUCCGGGUAGAAGUGACAGACCUAUCGAACCUGGUUAUAGCUGGUUGCCCGGAAAAUGAAUAAGAGUUCAGCCUAGUACACUCCUUACUUAACACCACAAAAAUAAAGGAAUAUAUACCAGAGUUAGUCAAGAGGGGUACAGCCCCCUUGACAAAGGACACAACCUUAACAGGAGGAUAAAGAUCAUAAUACACAAAAACAAACUGUACUGGUGGGCCUGAAAGCAGCCACCCUAUUAGAAAGCGUUAAAGCUCAGACAAAAUAAAAACUAACUAUAUCGAUAAAUUAUCUUACUCCCCUAAAUGUACCGAGCCAUUCCAUGCCAACAUGGAAGAGAUAAUGCUAAAAUAAGUAACAAGAAGAACACGACUUUCUCCUAGCACAAGUGUAAGUCAGACCGGACCAACCACUGACAAUUAAGCGAUCCCAACAAAAGAGGGCCGUGUGGAUUACAAAAAAACCAAGAAAACUCCAGAGAGACACUACUCCAUCGUUACCCCCACACUGGAGUGCAUAAUAGGAAAGACUAAAAGAAAAGGAAGGAACUCGGCAAACAUAAGCCUCGCCUGUUUACCAAAAACAUCGCCUCCUGCAACCAAGCUCAAGUAUAGGAGGUCCAGCCUGCCCAGUGACUAUAGGUUAAACGGCCGCGGUAUCCUGACCGUGCAAAGGUAGCGUAAUCACUCGUCCUUUAAAUGGGGUCAAGUAUGAAUGGCUAAACGAGGGCUUGACUGUCUCCCCUUUCCAGUCAGUGAAAUUGAUCUAUCCGUGCAGAAGCGGGUAUAACAAUACAAGACGAGAAGACCCUUUGGAGCUUUAGGUACAAAGCUUAGCUACGUUAAAAAAAUCAAUAAAAAUUUAAACCCAGUGGAAAUUAAGACUUUACCUUCGGUUGGGGCGACCACGGAGAAAAAAGAAACCUCCAAGUGGAUUGGGGUUAUCCCUAAAACUAAGAAUCACACCUCUAAGUCUCAGAACUUCUGACCAAACAUGAUCCGGCCACAAAACCGAUCAACGAAACAAGUUACCCUAGGGAUAACAGCGCAAUCCUCUCCCAGAGCCCAUAUCGACGAGGGGGUUUACGACCUCGAUGUUGGAUCAGGACAUCCUAAUGGUGCAGCCGCUAUUAAGGGUUCGUUUGUUCAACGAUUAAAGUCCUACGUGAUCUGAGUUCAGACCGGAGUAAUCCAGGUCAGUUUCUAUCUGUAAAGCUACUUCUUCCCAGUACGAAAGGACAGGAAAAAGGAAGCCCAUACCAAAAGUACGCUCCACCCCAAAUUAAUGAACAAAAAUAAAUCAAGCAAUGGAAAGCAUAGACCUAAAAUCCAAGACAAGGGUU
rnacentral:rRNA from 1 species